rnacentral:lncRNA from 1 species
GGUCAAUCUCACAUCAAACAAUUUUGAGCAGACGAUAAAAUCAUUCGUUCAUUCUCUUCAUCUCCAGAUUCUUUCGAGGUAUUCAGUCUGAAAGAAAUUCGUAGCAGCAAGAGAAACUGUCCGUUCAGUCUUGAAGAUGAUGUCCGCCUUCUGGAGACAGUAUUUGGGAAAGAGCGUGACGUUUCCUGUUGCGAGAAACUCUUUGUCUUCCCCACUACACCUUCAGAACCCGCUACAUUUAACAAGAAGCUCCACUUAAAGAUUGGUCAGCAGCUGAACUAUACAAAGUGACUCUCGAAGACGAAUGUGACAUGUGCAUGGAGAGCCAACCAGGAUAUCGUAACAGAAUAAAGGUUACAAUAAUUAGGAAAGAGCUUCCCACUAAAGUCAUGACGUUUUCUACAGUUCAGCACUGAGGAAUGUGUGGGGAUGAGCAAAUGAGUUGUGUUUCAAUGUUUGUUUCUCUCUCACCAACACUCCUCAAUACACACACUAUUUCUCUGACACACACAGGAAGAGAGAGAGAAAGAGAGAGCAAAGCAUGAAUACAAAUUAGCUAUCUAAUGAUAUACAUCUCUUAUUACGAUUUUGCCCAUUCGGAAUUUUGAGUCCUCUUACAUGACACUUUAAAACCCGUUCUGAUCAGUUGAAGAUUUCACGUUUUCUAGUUGUAGUUCUGGACUGACCCUAAUUACCAAGCUGCCCACCGGUAAAAUGAGCAACUUUUUAAAAACAAGAACAAGACAAGGACAUACUGAGCAGGAAAUUAACGUCCUGGCUGGAGGUCAGGGAAAGUGGAGUACCUUAGGCCUAGCACACCAUUCACCACGGUUUGCCGGAAAUGUAAAGAAUACACACCGGAAACAACUGAACAAAAAAAGAAAAAGAAAACGAAAAUCAUAAACGGCUGAACAAUGGGUGCGUUCAACACUCUACGCUUAAAAUAAGCUUAGAAAAGAAAUAUUACAAUACGGUCAGGCUCACACUUGUAUUUCUACAUGUUCUAUAAUAAUUGAUGACCGCCUUUUAUGGUAAUAAAAGAUAUAAUCGGAGUGAACAUAAGGCAAGCAUAAUCUUUAAAAUGCAUACACUUGAACUAUUACAUGAUUAAAGCAGGUCGAUGUGUGUGUUGAUAUGAAACCUAACCAGAUUGGUUGUCCGAUUCCCACCAAAGCUUACAGGAACAUUCAUGUCGUCUAUGGUUAUUUCAAAGACUACAUUUGGUACGUUUCAUUGCUUUGGAGCAUGUUUAAUUUUGGAUGUUGCUGUUACGCAGAACAAGAUGCACCGUACCUCUCCUACGCACGACAAACUUGGACAGCAUUGUAAUUCAAGACAGUACCGAUGAGACAGGGACAGAGAAAGAGGGACAAAGAAGGCUAAUGUAGAUGGUAGGGGUUAGCGAGUGAGCGAGUCACAUGGUGGCAGCCAUUGUCUCGAUCCCUCUUCACUACAAGCAACCUGCAUGGACUCAAUUAAAUAUACAAGGUUAAAUGGAUUUAGGUAUUAUUUUACCUGAAACCAUUGACUUUGCUGUCAUAAGACAGAAAAAGUGCCGCCUGUAAAUGGUAGAUCGUUUAAAAAUGUCAA